GUAUCCAUAAGAUUUGUGAUCAAUGAUUGAAUGGUUUAGUCAUUUUAUGUUUGAUCAUCAGAAAGCUCGACAGGUUGAAAUCGCAUUGGAGCACGAUUACACUAUCCAUUAGUCAUAUUGGUAGUUUUGGUUAACGGUUAUAAAUGGCAUGUAAUAGGAGGUUUUAUGUUAUUUAUGAAUUUGAUGUGGUUUAAGCUUAUUUACCUAUAUGCCUUUAAUGUUGGCUUAUAAAUAUAAAUAUAAAUAUAAAUAUAAAUAUAAAUAUGUAAGCAUAUGUUUUGGUCACUUGUGAAUGCUUUGAGAUUUAGAUGGCUUUUGGUUUAUUGAA